GACGUAGGGUGCAAGCGUUGUCCGGAUUUACUGGGCGUAAAGAGCGCGUAGGCGGCUCGUUAAGUGAGAAGUGAAAGCUGUGGGCUCAACCCACAAACCGCUUUUCAUACUGGCGAGCUGGAGUGAUGCAGAGGUGGAUAGAAUUCCUGGUGUAGCGGUGAAAUGCGUUGAUAUCAGGAGGAAUACCCGUGGCGAAGGCGGUCCACUGGGCAUCAACUGACGCUGAGGCGCGAAAGCGUGGGUAGCAAACAGG
rnacentral:rRNA from 2 species